ACACCCAGAGGAUAGGAUGACAGCACUGAUUAUGCCCACUCUGCCAGCACAGGCUAUGGGCUGGGGCUGCAGAGCAGAGCUCAAGUGGAACGAAGUGCCUGGUGGCUGCCCCUCCACUCCCCGGGCCAGCUUCCAGGGCAGCACACACACACAUCCAGAAUGAGAGGCCUGUUUGCUCACCAGGGGCCACAGGAUUCCCUAAUAGCAUAAACCUUCUUAGGCCAAUCCGCAGCUGACCAAAAGGGUGCAGGAUGCCCAGCACACAUGCGUCCCCAACAUAAGUAUGUUCUCCUCCCUUCUCUGGGCCCUGGCCUAUGUCUUUAUAGAAGGUGGUGCUUGCCUGGAUGUUCAGGGUGGGAGCGAGGACAAAGCCCAUAAAGGGCUUUGUAUGUGUCCCAAAGAAACCUCUUGACCAGCUGAGGGGAAGGGGCGCUCUGCUUCCCCGAGCUUGGGAUAGAUUAUCAUAGGAAAUGCAGGAAAGGCUGUGCAUGCAGUGUCGCCUCUUAAGUGUGGGAAGCCCAUUUGCUUCCCCUUCCAUAAGCACCACACAGGCCAGGCUGAGUUUCCCAACAUGGAGUGACACCAAAGCUUGGCACCCACAUUGCCUGAGGUCUGGACUGUGAGUCGAAUCCUGCUGAUAAGCCUAGAGAAGCCUGGGACUCUGAUCACCUCUUGUAACUGGGCCAUCCUGGUGAAGGGAGAUGCGAGGCACCGUGGGAAGACAGCCCCACCCAAGGAUGAGGAUGGCAGAGACAUGGGGUAUCCAUGUGUUGUAGGUGCUCCACAGGCAUCACGUGGCUCCACAAGUACCACAACUCCACUCACCCUUGCCUGACCCAGGGCCAUGGGGCAGCUAUCUGCAGAGGGAGAAAAUGGAACCUGGCAAUUCAGAGACUGGGCUUGCUCCCUCCAGGCACUAUGUCUCACCUUAGGGGUCCCUCUGCAGGUCGGGGGAUAAUUCUUUGCCAGGGAAGAGGAGGGGACACAGGGAAGUUCAACAGCUACAUGCAGGCAGCACCAGACCUGAAGGGUAGAUUUUAAAAUUUACAAGUCUUCACGCUUUACAUAGACAUCUGCGAGAUGUUCCCAGACCCAUGCAAACAUCAACCCAUGCUUGAGUUCAGUGGAUUGAAAUCCCUAAAAGCAGGGUCCUGUGCCUCCUACUAGCUAGUCGUAUGAGGGCAGACAGGUUACUAGCCACCCAGUGCCCCAACACUUGGCAGCCCCCUACCGAUUCCAAGCCUUCCACAUAACAUCAGCAUGCCAGUCACAGGGCCAUCCAUUACACAGCAAACUCAGUGGGAGAUGCAGAGUGGUGCAUCUGGAGCCACUGGAAGCUCCUCCUUGGCAACUGGGACGAGAGGGGCUGCAGGCCACAGGCUGGGGCGAGUAGGCAGUGGCUAUUUUUACGUGACAUGUCUUAGCUAUUUCAAGGUUUGGAUUUUUAUUUAUUUUUUUAACACAAGAGGAAGUUGUGCUUUCUCAUGACUCAUUUCUUUCAAAAUGGUGUCCUAGGGCAUCAUUAGUGCUGGAAUUGUUGGGAAUCUGCAGCUGGCCACGGUGGACCUAUGAUCACACUAGUCUCGUUCACAUUACCAUGUCAUUCAGAAUUUUAAGAAGCCAACAAAUCAGAAUUAUGGCUGGAUUCUAAAGCUGGAAAAAAAUGUAUUUUUCCAUAUAAAAUUUAACACAGUAUUGUCUGUUGAAAAAUACGUGUAUAAAACAUGAAUCUGAAAGAUGUUAGAUUAUCAUCAUUCAGAAUACCUUCAAGCUCCUUUGAAAUAGGCUCCUUACAGAACAGAAAGCUUGCAGGGAAGCCACACUGGCUGCCCCCACUGCACAUGACCAGAGGAGCCCCCAUGCCCAACUCGCCCUUCUCUGACCAGACGCCCCGCUUCAAGCCUGGAACCAGCCUCUCUCCUCCAGGAGGAGCACAUGCUGACCUGCAAGGUGUAGGCAUGGCGGCACUUUGCUUUAUUCACACUCAGUAAUACAAAAGACCACGCUCAGUUCAAUCUCACAGCUUCAAAAAAUUUAAAAAGUGAAGAGUCACCAAGAGUAAAGUAUGAGAUCAAUUAAAAUGUGACGUCUACAAACAUCCCAUAAGUCAGCGUGAGCAGCCAGGGCACAGGUCCUGAAGGGCCUUACAGACCUGAAAGGCAGGCACCUGGGCCGGGGGGCUUCUACCAGCCUUUGUCUGAGCCGCUGGGGAGUCUCAAUCACUGGGGUGAAGGGAGGGGUGGGGGAGGUACCAGGACACAGCAACUACCCGCAGGACUGAGUUCACCCCACAGCACCGGGGCCACAGCCAUGGCAGGGAGAGGGGCCUCUCAGGUCCGUCAUCGCCUUCUGCCGCCUGUGGGACAGGUACACUCCAGGGAAGGGGAGAGCUAGAGACACAGCUACCCUACUCUGUUCCUAACAUACUUGCCCCCAAAUACCUGCUAUUUCUUGUGUUUAAAUUUCUUUCUGGUAGUGCUUUUGUACAAUUUCUAAGUUAAAUUCUCCAGGUAUAAUUAGCACAGUAUUCUCUAGACUUAGGAAAUCCAGUGCUUAGUUUUAAAAACAAGCAAGACUAUUUCAGUUCCAACAAAUAACGAUGGGUCAUCAUCUGAAAGGUACACAAGACCUACUUAUAAUGCUUUCAGACUUAAAAAAAAAUUGUGUCAGUGUGUGAAGAAAAGCAAUUAAAUCUGGAAACUUCCAUAAAAAUAUGUAGUGGGACUGAGCUCACUGCCACAGUGUGGGAGAAAAAAGGCCAGCAAAAAAAUGGUUAAUGCUGGCCUUCUGAGGAGGCCGUCCAGUGCAGAGCACAAUGGGCGGCCCUGGGAAGCCUAUGAAGCCUAUAAAGCCUGCAGUGUCUUGGUAUCCCGAGCAAUGACGGAGCGAUGACAGGCACCGUGGCAGGUCAGCCUCGUGCACCAAGUCUCCCCUUCCAGGACCACCGCUCCAGCGUUCUUCGACGGGUGGAACCAAGUCCAGAAUCACCAGUACCCAGAGAGUUUCAGCCGUGCCUGCAGCCUCCCAUGAGUAUCUUUGCCGAGGCUGGCUGACAAGCCCUCCAAAGGACCAGAGAAGGGUCUGCUCAGAAUCGGCCCGAGCUGGGGUGGCCGGCUGCGGUGCAGGCCACUAUGAAAAUAACAGUGUUGUCAAGGAUCAAAAAACUCACAUACAUGGGAAAGAAGGGGAGGACUCGCUUCAAAACUCUUCCCACAGCCUAUUUUGACAAGCACGGGACGAGGACAAGUGUGUGCGGCCAGCUCCCUCACCUUUAAACCUUCCUCUGAAAUCAGUUGAAAACGGCCCUGCAUUUCCACAUUUAGAGAGCAAAACAAGCACUUGGAGCACUUCUUACAAGAAAUUAAAAACAGAGGGGCUUUAAGCAUUUCAGAUAGUAUCUGAGAACAAUGACAUUUAUGUGGUUGAAACUGGUAUAAUCUACUAAAGAUGAACAAAAAAAUGUAAAAUAACUAAUAAACUUAUCAGCCUCAGCUAAGCAAAGCUUACGGAAUACUUUUUAAGUAAUAACUGACCCCAAGGCUGUAAUUUAAGGCCGUUUUUCUGCUUUUCUUUUGUUUUUUUUUUUUAAGCAGUAGUUCAAUAAAUGUCUAGUCUGCUUUGGCAACAGUUCAAAAAUGACUCCUAAUGAUCUCACAGGGUAAAACAAGAGCUCUCAAAAGAAAAACAAUUCAAGUCCAUUUAAAUGUGCCAGUUCAGCUUCCUUGGGGUUUCUCAUUCUCUGUGUCAGGCCCCCACCAUCGAUGCCAAGAGCACCCCUCCCCAGUGGUGAUGGCCCAAACACCACAGCUGCUGCCCGCGUGUGAAGACUGCGGACAAGCCAGGUUGUUAUGGAUGGCCCCGUAUGCAAACCUGUCAGCAGCAAAGGUCUAAAGGACUUUGCUUAGGUUUUAUUUUUUUGUUUUACCCAGCUUCUUGGUUACAAACAACAUUACAAAAACAUAUUCAAUUUUAUAACAAUUUAUGAAAACACCAGAUAAAUAUUAUUUCCUAAAGCAAGUACCGUUUUUAUCACCUUUUCUUUCAUUUCAUAUCAUGAAAAAAGUCUUAUUUGGGGCACCCAAGCUUAGGUUAGCAAAAACAAAACAAAAACAAAAACAAAAAAACACAGAAACACACAAAAAAACACAAAAUCCUAGAUUUCCUUUAUCAAUUUUAUUGUAAGAGACUCUACUCCAGUUUCCACAAAGCAUUCUGGGCCCAUGAUCUUCAGAGAAGCUGGGUUUUUCCCUUCAUCUUAGUUCUCUUUCCAACAGCUGCUGAAAUAAAUUUUAUUUCCUCUGCUGGCAAAUAGUACUUUUCCUGAGAUUUCCAUACCCAACAGCCACGUUACUUCAUAAGCAUGCUAUUCAACUAUU